rnacentral:rRNA from 1 species
CCUACGGGAGGCUGCAGUGGGGAAUAUUGCACAAUGGGGGCAACCCUGAUGCAGCGACGCCGCGUGAGUGAAGAAGUAAUUCGUUAUGUAAAGCUCUAUCAGCAGGGAAGAAAAUGACGGUACCUGUGUAAGAAGCCCCGGCUAACUACGUGCCAGCAGCCGCGGUAAUACGUAGGGGGCAAGCGUUAUCCGGAUUUACUGGGUGUAAAGGGAGCGUAGACGGCAGUGCAAGUCUGGAGUGAAAGGCGGGGGCUCAACCACCGGACUGCUCUGGAAACUGUACGGCUGGAGUGCAGGAGAGGUAAGCGGAAUUCCUGGUGUAGCGGUGAAAUGCGUAGAUAUUAGGAGGAACACCAGUGGCGAAGGCGGCUUACUGGACUGUAACUGACGUUGAGGCUCGAAAGCGUGGGGAGCAAACAGGAUUAGAUACCCCAGUAGUC